AAAAUGAUAAUGAUCCUGUAAACACCGGGAGUUCGGUGUAACAUUAAUUUAAAGGUUUAAUAACAGCCAAUAAUAAAAGCUAAAGUGGAUCUAGCCGUGCACUUUGUCUGCUCCAGGCAGGUGGCCGUUAUGCGAUGUUGUGAUGCUUAAAUUGGCUUGCGAUCCUUACCUGCUUGACCUACUGCUACUGAUAUUGUCACCUUUAGCCCACUGUUAUUCCGUUCCCUUCCCCCUUUGGUACCUUCUGGUCCAAGUGCUACUGCAUAACAGAAGUGGGAAAGAAUCACAAUAAAUCGCAAGAAUUGCAAUGACAAAGAGAAUAAAUUGUCAUGCACAAUAAAGCCAAAUAAGCAAAGAACAAAUAGAGGUCUCAUAUUGAACUUUCAUUUUAGAUCCUGCAUAUGCUUGAAUUGUGCAUAUAUAUAUAUAUACAGAAUUAUAAUCAGAAGAAAAAGUUUACAACAUAGGCCAAAAACACAAAUAGUGAAACUGCAAAAACUAACACAUAUCAUUAGAAUUCGAUCGCUCAAAAACUUCGCAGAACUCAUAUAUACAAUAGAUCCCAGAAACAAAGAAAAGACUUAAGAUCAAACUCAAAUUUCAACUUAAAAAGAACUUAUUAAGAGCCACAAGUUUUUCUUGAAAACAAUCACUUUUUAUAUCAUUUACAAAAGAAGUCAUAUACAUUACCAGAGACAACAGAAUGUUUGACCUAUGUGCAAUUAAUCUCUUUUGGAAUCUCUCUAACAUUACAUAUUACAUAAGUUCUGUCUCUCACACAAACACUCCAAAUUACAAGCAUAUGCGACAUUAUAUAUGUGUCACAACAUCCAUUAUCAGAAUAACGAUCACUUAUGAGUUUAGCAACUAAAAUUCAAUUUCCACUACAUCCUUUCCUUUUCUUCUUCUAUGUAUCUGGCAAUUCCUAAACCUAGAUUCCAUAGGAUAUGGGUCUAUCCUGUUUCCUAGUAUUAGUUUACAUAAGCGUGGUCCAUAAGUGUUCUUUUAGAUAAUGGACUUCAGCUACGUUUCAAGUAAGAAAGUAACAAAUGAAACCUGCCAUGAAUCCAACAAAAACUAAAAAUUGUUACAUGUGAUUUCCGAGGGUCGAAUGGAAACAGCCUCUCUACCCUUUCGGGUAGGGGUAAGGCUCGUCUACAUAUUACCGUCCCCAAACCCCACCUGGUGGGAAUAUACUGGGUAGUUGUUGUUGUUGUGAUUUUCCAGUUUUAUAACAAAUGUUUUGACAUGCUUGCUUAGAUGUCUUUUUGAUUUUGUUCAACGGAAAUUUGGACCUUUAACUGUGCUUUAAUCCCAAAUUGGACCUCAACCGCAUCAGUUCUUCCACGGAUCCACCCAUUUCACAAAUAUGUGUAUGUGAUUUUUCCUGUGCAAUUUGAGCUUAAACCAAAGCACGAACAAAUUGUUGCAAUUCAUUCUUUCUUACUCUCCCUUAUGUCCACAUGGACCACAUCCAAUAGGACUAAGAAUUUAGAAGAACAAAAGCAUAUUCCAAACCAAUAAAGAUAAGUACAUAGAUUUUUCUCGUGUGUCUGCCAACAAUUACUUGGAUUACUUGAAGAGGCAAGCACAAGAUGCAUGACAUCACUUUUUGUUAUGUUUUAUCCACACACACACACUGAUACACAUGCUCUUAGCAACUUCAUAUAUGGUGCUUUAUCUAAUGAAACCAAAAUGCAAAGCACAAGCAUUUGGAAGCACUUUUGAGGUUUUCAUUUUGCUCGUUAUUUGCAUUAAAGCAUACUAAAAUACACAUACACACAGAGAAAAUUUCAAUCAGUCACAUACUUCUAUUUACUUGUAGUGAAAUAAGAUGAAAUAGUGAAGAUCGUCGCUCACGCUUAAGUUAACUGGCAUAAGAAGUGUUGAUGAAAACUUUGGAACAAAAUUUCCCAUUAAUAGUAAACUAUUACCAUAACACAUGUUUAAACAUGUCAUAACAGUGAUUACAGAAGCAAGAAAAAAUGGAAGGUAGAGGGCCAUCUAACAGGCAAAAGCAUUACAACAUCACUUUCAGCUUGAAUCUACAAUUUUUUUUAAAUAUACAGCUUGAAGGACAUUACCACAUAAUGAGCGCUCAACAGCACAAAAAGAAAAUUUAUAUACGGACUUAAGCAAAAGGCUGAGAUGAACUAUAAGCAUUUCCCAUUGAACGAACAAAAUGCAAGUAGUGACGAAUUUACUUUUCCUAGAAUAUGCAGCAAAAAUUACAUCAAAGCACAAACAACUUAGAUAAACAGAGAGAGAAAAAAAGAGACCCCUAAAAGCUGAAGAAGCAUGCGGUCAGGCAAGAAAAAGAAACUAAAUUUGUUUUCUUGAUUAAAUUCAUCUCUCAAAAAUAAAAAAUUCUCCAAUUUCAUCCAUCGAAACCUUAACUCGAAAAUCGCUAAUAAAUUCACUCUGUUUUCAUGAAUUUAAAACAAAAAAAGAAGAAGAAACAGAUAGAAAACAAUAAAAAUUUUCCAAAAUCAUCCAUCAAAACCCUAGCUCGAGAAUUUCCGAUUCUUCUCUGGGUUAAUUGAUUCAAUCAAAGAGAUUUAAGAGACAAAGUAGGAAAAUAAAGACAACUCACAGCCCAUCAAAUUCAAAUCCGAAAUUCAGAAACAAAUUUUAUCCGAUUUCAAACUGGUAGAUGGCUUCUUUGAUGGUUUCUCUCGUGACUUCCUACUUUUUACAAAUCUUAUCAGAGAGAGAGUUGAGAAAAGCUUCGAUAAGAAAGAGGCGCGGAGACGAGAGAAGAAAGGUCUGGGAUCUGAUAUAAGAAAAAUGACACGUAGUGUCUGAGUCACACAUAAAAGGCACGUAUGUACGCUAUAUGAAAUGACCUGAAUACCCUCAAACAUUAUUGAAAAGAUGAUAAGCACACAUGUCGAAACCAAU
rnacentral:lncRNA from 1 species